UUCCUGUCACAUUACCUCUCUAGGAGGUCUGCUCAUGGUCUCAUGUCAAGUGCUGCUAUUUUUGCAAGGAGUAGAAUUCUCUGCUAGGUGUUUCACAGACAGGAUUUUAAUUUGUUGGAGCUGCCAGCUGUGAGGGGUAGAGAAAACAGAUCAGUGUCCACUUCAUGUAGUGCUGUUGUCAGUUGUGAGGUUAAUUUGUAUGUUCCCAUAAAUUUGCCUUAAAAUACUUUCUACCAUUAAGGCAGAGAAAUACCAUUAUCCAGGAGAUAACAAAUUCUGUGGAAUGAUUUCAUACCUGGAGCUGUACUGGGGAGGGAGAAAUGAGACAUUUCAGCAUCUACAUGAGGAUCUCAGUUUGGUACCAUCUUUCUAUCUGGUACGUUCAGUGUCUUAUUUGGAGUCCUGAGGAUUUUCUUAAGUUGUCAUCAGGAAAAUAAUUGUCAGGCUACGAAUAAUUUCCUGCUGUGGGGAAGCUGACAGUGGAAAGAAGCAACUGUGCUGGUGCUCAGGCUGCAGAUCAAGUCCAGCAAACAGGAAAUAAAGUGAACCAUGACUGGACUAUUAACUCAAAUGAGAGUCUUGAGGUGUUCUAAGCCUAUUUUCUGCUGGAGUUUUAGCUUUGAAACUCAUGUUGAAUCAGAGCAAGGCUGAACUGUAAACGAUGGUCUGAUUCAGGUAAUUCUGAUUCCUGUAUAGAAAUUCCUAAAUCAACUCAUGCUAACACAGGUAGAACAGCUGGCUUGGAUCACUUUCCUGCAUUUUCAGAUGUUGCCAAAGGUGUGGUUAGAAAAGCUGUAGUUAGAAACUGCAGAAGUGCUUGGGCCAGAGUGACUGCAGGCACCCAAGAACUCCUUGUGACACAAACAACCUCCUUUGUCCCAGAUAACCUCAGAAGGGCUAUGGGCACAAGCAGAACUCUGCACGGAGCUGAUUAGCUAAUCCCAUGUGGAAUUUAAUGAUAUUGGAAGAGUGAGAGCACAGUCAGGACCCAGAGAAGUGAAAGAAAACUGUCAUGGCAGGACACUGAGCACUGAAACUGAACUGAAAGGUACUCUAGUACUUCAUCACUGCAAUUUAGUUAUUUUUUUUAAAAGCUUAAAUAUUUUGUAACUCAUGGGCUUCCUGUGGUCUCAGAAGUUGUGCUGUCAUUUCUACAAAGAUUCUUUUUCCUAGGUAGCAUCAAUAUUCCAAAGGUUUCCCAGGCUAACAUAAUGAUUCUGUUUGGUAUCCACAAAGAUCAGAAGUGGUCUUUCAGAAUAGUAGGCACAGCCCAUCGUGGAAGUAAAAGGAAUGAAUACAAUAAUACAUAGAGGAUGCACUAUUGGUCUGCUAAAACAUUUGAUUUAACUUAGAAGUAGCAAGUCUAUUGUCUCUGACCUGACCUCGAGACACUGGGGAUGAACUUGGAUUCCCGUGGCAAGCAGCCACUGUUGGCAUCCAGGCACCUGCACCUGCUAAAAUCACAAACAUCACAGGAUUUCUCCAAGAUCAAAACUGCCAGCAGCUCAGACUCUGGCUGCCCUGGGAGCCCCAGAUGCCACCUCUGAUCUGACCUCAAGACACUGGGGACUGAGUAUGAUUUCCUUUGGAAAAGGGCCACUGUUCACACCCAGGCCUGCAGCCACAUCAAUCCCGGAUCCCAGUUCCUGGGGCUUUGGUGAGGGACAGGAGGCAGUGCAGGAGCUGUCACUCCCAGCUUGGGGCACCUGCACUCACCCCAGUCCUUGCCACAGGCAGGAUAGCAUUGCUCCAAGCCAAGACUUCAUUGGAGAGUCAUCAUGUCCUUGGGAAUUGCUUGAAGAGCCUGUUGGAGUGCUGGCUGGAUUUGGGAGCCAAGUAUCCUGGACCUGUGAGGCUUGUCAGACCUGGACCUUGGACCUGUCAGAAAUCCAUGGUGGGGAUGUUUUCCCUGGCUGUCCCAAGUGGAACAGCUUUGGAGUUGUUGCAGCCACAGGCUGGGGAUGCAUCCCCUGAAAACCAGUUCAGGAUUGUUCAUCUGACUCUGCCUCUGACCUGUGACUUCCAGGGACCCUCCCGAUAUCCUGGGUAUUCCCAGGAGAGGAUAUUCCACCACCUGCCUGUUAAGCUAGGAAUUCCAGACCCAGUAAGUUGUGACAUUCCAUGUGAGCUGUCCCAGUGGCUGGGUGGGAGAGGGAGCAAACACCCCCCAUGGCUGCUUGAGACAUUCCUAACUAGAAUUGGGCUGAGCAGUCAUUGCAGAGCUCUGAGGCCACAAGUUCAGCCUUGAAUGGCAUCCCCAGGGAAUGCUGAGGUGUCCCAUGCCUGUGGCACUUGGCCACACAUCCCUGAUGUGGAGCAAAAAGAGGAGGGGGGAAGUCCUGGGUUAGUGGGAGGAUGUUUAUGGAAUGGAAUUCUCAGAGGUUCUGGUCAUACCACGGAAUCAUGGGCUGCUUUGGCUUGGAAGGGACACAAAGACCCUCUGGACUCUGUUAUCCAAUUCCAUGGCAAAGAGCACAUCCCAAACUGCCUCCUCACCCUCAUGGACAGCAGGAAUGUCUUCCAUAGCUCCUGUUGAGGAAUGGCAGUGGCUGUGUGGAGCUCUGGCAGGAGCACCUGGAGACCAGGUAAGAACAGCAAUGGGAUUGUUUUGGCUGCUGCUGGAUGUGGUUUUCUCUUUUCAAGACGUUCCUCUGAUUGGUGUUUUCACAGCUGUUUCCUAGGUGUCAUUUGAGGGUAAUUCCAAAAGUUUGGAAGUAGUUGGGAAACAGUGGGGGAAAAAUGUGAACCUGAUCCAUUUCUAGUAAUUCCAAACUUCUCCCACAGCAGCGCUCUGAGGGAAAGCUGGUUAAAGGAUAAAGAUGCAGAGGAACAAGUGUUGUAAACCCUCCUUGCUCUCUGACUGAGAAAACCUUCCAGUAAUCCCAGUACAUCUCUCUGAGAGACUCUGGGAUCAUUAGGUCUUCCAGGAAAGCAAGGACAGAGAUGAGGGAAUAGGCUUCUAAUUAAUAAUUGAUGGGUGUAGGAAUGAUUCUUGUAUGUUUCGUGCUUCCCUUUUAAAUCCUGGUAUAAUUUUAAAAUUAUUUCUUUAACAAAUUAUCUAAAUUUGAGAAGAAAUGGUGCAAAAUAAAUGCAUGGAGAGACCAUGGAAUCCCCAAUGGUUUGAGUGGGAAGGGACCUUAAGGAUCACUUCAUUCCAUCCCCAGCCCAGGGUGCUCCAAGCCCCAUCCAGCCCAGCCUUGGACACUUCCAGGCAUGGAGCAGCCACGGUUUCUCUGGUUUGUGGGCACAGGAGGGAAGUUCCAGCAGGAGCUGAGGAGUUCCCUUUGCCCUGUGCAGCCCCAGCAGGGCUGUGGGAGCAGAGGCUGUGGGAGCAGGAGCUUUGCCCACGGCCUCGGGCAGUCUGUGCUGCCCCAGCCCCCAGAGCAAACGUUUGUGGUUCAACAUCCCGUGCCAAGGAGAUGCCAGCCAGGAACGGGAAUGGGCCGCGGAGCAGGGACGGGCCAGGCACAGGGGUGACAUCCAGAGGGUGCCACCAGCCCGUCCCUGCUGCCCAGGCUGGCAUGAGCAGGCUGCUGACUGUCCCUGUGCUUGCUCUGCAGGAUGAGGGAGCCAGCCCUGCCAGGAGGAAGAGGAGGAGGUGUGGGAGGAUGGAGACAGCGGCCACCAAAGGCUGGGGAAGGCACAGGUCCAGGUGGUGCUUUAGGAAAGCCCCUCCAGCCUGGGAAGGUGCUUUUGGCUCCGGACACAUUCCCAGAGCCCAGGAGCAGCAGGACCUGUGCUGUGCCCAGCAGGCAUGGAAAAUGGGGGAAAACUCAGACUGGAGUGGAGCCAGGACCCAGAGUGGGGGAGUGAGGCAGCGUGCUCUGCCAGGCUGGGGUUGGCACAGGGGCUGUUCCCUGCUGGAUGACACCCGUGUGGAACAGAUCCCUCUCUUCCUUUGUCCAAAGUCCAAUGGCAAAGGAUUCAGGAAGUCACAAGUGAGGCCUGGAAUGAAAAUGCUUCUGUUAAAAUUAGGCAAAGAAUGUAACAAGAAAAAAGAAUGAAAAUAGUAGGGAAUAAAGUGUUGACAAGGGGCACUUUUAUUUGGUGUCAACUCCCAUUUUUUAUGAAUAGAACCCCACAGUGAGCAAUCAGAACAGAAGUAGGAAAGCCAGGAGCCUUUGACUUCCAGAGUGGACCUGAUUUCCAUUUUCUCCUCUCUUUCAGGACAGGAAAAACCACUUAACUCAUCCCACCUUUGCCCAGAGCUUUGGUGUUUGAGCAGCCUAACCCAACAGGCUCCAGCUGCACUGGAGGGCCCCUGGUCCUGCCCAGGGUGUGAGAUGCUGGAAUUGCCUCCCUGGAUGUGCACUGAGCUCUCACUGCAGGGAACUGCCAGGCCUUGGUGGUUGUGAGUUCAUGUUCUUCUCACUGGGGAAUUGGAAAUAAUUAUUAAUUGCAGAAAUGUUUUCUGAAACCUUUCCCCUUUGGUGCCCUGCUGUGUGGGACAAGGGCAG